CCUACGGGUGGCAGCAGUGGGGAAUAUUGGGCAAUGGGCGCAAGCCUGACCCAGCAACGCCGCGUGAAGGAAGAAGGCUUUCGGGUUGUAAACUUCUUUUAUCAGGGACGAAGCAAGUGACGGUACCUGAUGAAUAAGCCACGGCUAACUACGUGCCAGCAGCCGCGGUAAUACGUAGGUGGCAAGCGUUAUCCGGAUUUACUGGGUGUAAAGGGCGUGUAGGCGGGAGUGCAAGUCAGAUGUGAAAACUAUGGGCUCAACCCAUAGCCUGCAUUUGAAACUGUACUUCUUGAGUACUGGAGAGGCAGACGGAAGUCCUAGUGUAGCGGGGAAAUGCGUAGAGAUUAGGAGGAACACCAGUGGCGAAGGCGGUCUGCUGGACAGCAACUGACGCUGAGGCGCGAAAGCGUGGGGAGCAAACAGGAUUAGAUACCCUUGUAGUC
rnacentral:rRNA from 1 species